rnacentral:SRP_RNA from 1 species
CCGUGCAGCCGGGGAGUUAGCGGUGCCCUGUACCUGCAAUCCGCUACAGCAGGGGUGAUAUCCCGCCCAGGGUUCCUUCUUGUGGAGCAGCCCUUUAUAAGUGGCGUUGACGUCUGGGUCUUACGCAACAGGAAUCUAUGAACCGUGUCAGGUCAGGAAUGAAGCAGCACUAAGUAGAACCUCCUGUGUGCCGUGAGGGUGCCUGGGCCGAGUUAACUGUAAAGGUAACGUCUAUGAUGGGAAUUCAAAGCGGGAUGCACGG